rnacentral:tRNA from 1 species
CGUUCAUUGGUCUGGCGACCCUGCCCUUUGGCUGGGUGACAUUGGACAUGGAACUGCUGGGUUGGCUGGUUCUGGCCGGCGUGAUUGGC